rnacentral:rRNA from 1 species
UACGUAGGGGGCUAGCGUUGUCCGGAAUCAUUGGGCGUAAAGAGCGUGUAGGCGGCCCGGUAAGUCCGCUGUGAAAGUCGGGGUCAACCCUCGAAAGCCGGUGGAUACUGUCGGGCUUGAGUGCGGAAGAGGCGAGUGGAAUUCCUGGUGUAGCGGUGAAAUGCGCAGAUAUCAAGGAGGAACACCGAUUGCGAAGGCAGACUCGCUGGGACGUAACUGACGCUGAGACGCGAAAGCGUGGGGAGCAAA